rnacentral:rRNA from 1 species
UACGGGGGGGCAAGCGUUGUUCGGAAUUACUGGGCGUAAAGGGCUCGUAGGCUGCCAACUAAGUCCGACGUGAAAUCCCCAGGCUCAACCUGGGAACUGCGUCGGAUACUGGAUGGCUUGAAUUCGGGAGAGGGAUGCAGAAUUCCAGGUGUAGCGGUGAAAUGCGUAGAUAUCUGGAGGAAUACCGGUGGCGAAGGCGGCAUCCUGGACCGACAUUGACGCUGAGGAGCGAAAGCUAGGGGAGCAAACGGG